AGAGUUUGAUCCUGGCUCAGGAUGAACGCUAGCGGCAGGCUUAACACAUGCAAGUCGAGGGGCAGCGGGGAGGAAGCUUGCUUUCUCCGCCGGCGACCGGCGCACGGGUGAGUAACACGUAUGCAACCUGCCCCUGUCAGGGGGACAACCCGCCGAAAGGCGGGCUAAACCCGCGUACAUGCCACCGGGGCAUCCCGGAGGCAGGAAAGGCUUCGGCCGGACAGGGAUGGGCAUGCGGCGCAUUAGGCAGUAGGCGGGGUAACGGCCCACCUAACCGACGAUGCGUAGGGGUUCUGAGAGGAAGGUCCCCCACACUGGUACUGAGACACGGACCAGACUCCUACGGGAGGCAGCAGUGAGGAAUAUUCGUCAAUGGUCGGGAGACUGAACCAGCCAAGCCGCGUGAGGGAGGAAGGUACAGAGUAUCGUAAACCUCUUUUGUCAGGGAACAAAGGCGGGGACGUGUCCCCGGAUGAGUGUACCUGAAGAAAAAGCAUCGGCUAACUCCGUGCCAGCAGCCGCGGUAAUACGGAGGAUGCGAGCGUUAUCCGGAUUUAUUGGGUUUAAAGGGUGCGCAGGCGGUCUGUUAAGUCAGCGGUCAAAGCCCGGGGCUCAACCCCGGCCCGCCGUUGAAACUGGCAGUCUCGAGUUGGAGAGAAGUAUGCGGAAUGCGCGGUGUAGCGGUGAAAUGCAUAGAUAUCGCGCAGAACUCCGAUUGCGAAGGCAGCAUGCCGGCUCCACACUGACGCUGAGGCACGAAAGCGUGGGUAUCGAACAGGAUUAGAUACCCUGGUAGUCCACGCAGUAAACGAUGAAUGCUGGCUGUCCGGGGGGAUUGACCCCUGGGGUGGCGAAGCGAAAGCGAUAAGCAUUCCACCUGGGGAGUACGCCGGCAACGGUGAAACUCAAAGGAAUUGACGGGGGCCCGCACAAGCGGAGGAACAUGUGGUUUAAUUCGAUGAUACGCGAGGAACCUUACCCGGGCUCAAACGGGGAGUGACUCAGGCAGAGACGCCUGUUUCCCACGGGACACUCCCCGAGGUGCUGCAUGGUUGUCGUCAGCUCGUGCCGUGAGGUGUCGGCUUAAGUGCCAUAACGAGCGCAACCCCCGCGUGCAGUUGCUAACAGAUAACGCUGAGGACUCUGCACGGACUGCCGGCGCAAGCCGCGAGGAAGGCGGGGAUGACGUCAAAUCAGCACGGCCCUUACGUCCGGGGCGACACACGUGUUACAAUGGGUGGUACAGCGGGAAGCCAGGCGGCGACGCCGAGCGGAACCCGAAAUCCACUCUCAGUUCGGAUCGGAGUCUGCAACCCGACUCCGUGAAGCUGGAUUCGCUAGUAAUCGCGCAUCAGCCAUGGCGCGGUGAAUACGUUCCCGGGCCUUGCACUCACCGCCCGUCA
rnacentral:rRNA from 1 species